UUAUACAGCAAAGAUAUAAGUUAGCAUUCAGUUUGUCCAUAAGGAUUGAGACUGGAAAUGGCAAUUGGAGCAGACUUUUAAGGAUGCCAUUACUGUGGCUGCAUGAAAUAAUUGUGUGAUCUAUUCUGUAAAAAGAAAAAAAAAAGCAAUUGAAAAAUGUUAAAUAUGUUUUAAGAAAACAAAUUGUAAGAUUCUCCAUUUUCUACAAGAAUGGAAGUUUGAAUUUCUAAUGAUCUUAAAAUUUAAAUUUAGGAAAAUUUCUUUUUAUCCCUUGCAUAAAAUGGCUAGAUCUUUUUAUACUUACAAACCUCAGAGGGAGUAUUAACACUUCUAGUGGUUUAGAAUGGAGGAUCUAAAAAAAAAGAAAAAAAAAAAACUUUUGUAAAAUAUUUCAAUUUAUUUCACAAGAAGCAUAGUUAAAGAACA